rnacentral:rRNA from 1 species
CCCGUAGGCGGCCGCACAAGUCCGACGUGAAAUCCCUCGGCUCAACCGAGGAACUGCGUCGGAAACUAGGUGGCUUGAAUCCAAGAGAGGGAUGCGGAAUUCCAGGUGUAGCGGUGAAAUGCGUAGAUAUCUGGAGGAACACCGGUGGCGAAGGCGGCAUCCUGGAUUGGUAUUGACGCUGAGGAGCGAAAGCCAGGGGAGCAAACG